rnacentral:rRNA from 1 species
AUUGAACGCUGGCGGCAGGCUUAACACAUGCAAGUCGAGCGGGGAAAAGUAGCUUGCUACUGGACCUAGCGGCGGACGGGUGAGUAAUGCUUAGGAAUCUGCCUAUUAGUGGGGGACAACAUCUCGAAAGGGAUGCUUAUACCGCAUACGUCCUACGGGAGAAAGCAGGGGACCUUCGGGCCUUGCGCUAAUAGAUGAGCCUAAGUCGGAUUAGCUAGUUGGUGGGGUAAAGGCCUACCAAGGCGACGAUCUGUAGCGGGUCUGAGAGGAUGAUCCGCCAAACUGGGACUGGGACACGGCCCAGACUCCUACGGGAGGCAGCAGUGGGGAAUAUUGGACAAUGGGGGGAACCCUGAUCCAGCCAUGCCGCGUGUGUGAAGAAGGCCUUUUGGUUGUAAAGCACUUUAAGCGAGGAGGAGGCUACCGAGAUUAAUACUCUUGGAUAGUGGACGUUACUCGCAGAAUAAGCACCGGCUAACUCUGUGCCAGCCGCCGCCGUAACAC